rnacentral:lncRNA from 1 species
CCAGAAUACUUCACAAUAAGUCUCCUCAUGAAAUUUUGUAUGGGAAAGCUCCAUCCUAUUCUCAUUUGAGGGCAUUUGGGUGCCUUGCUUAUGCUGCUGUCGCUAUUCAUGAAAUUUUGUAUGGCAAAGCUCCAUCCUAUUCUCAUUUGAGGGCAUUUGGGUGCCUUGCUUAUGCUGUUACUCCUAUUCCUCAAAGGGACAAGCUGAAACCUAGAGCCCUCUCUUGUGUUUUUCUAGGUUACCCUUUUGCCAAAAAGGGUUAUAAACUGUAUAAUUUGGUUUCAAGAAGUGUUUUGUCUCCAGGGAUGUUGUCUUCCAUGAAACUUGUUUCCCUUUUAAGAGUAAACCUACUUCUGCUCACCCUUCUCCUUCAUUUUUUCCUUCUAUUCCUCCUGCUGAUCAUUUCCCUGACACAGAUUUUCCUAUACGUGCUUCCCCUGAUUCUCCUGUUCCUGAUUUUACUGAUGUUGGUCCGUCUUCCCUUCCUUCUUUCAAUCAUGAUAUCCCUCCUCAUGUGUUACCUCCUUCACAUCCUCUUCCUACUCCUAGAAAGUAUGUUCCUAAUUUUACUUCUGAUUCUCCUGUUUCUGAUUUUACUGAUGCUGGUCCAUCUUCCCUUCCUUCUUUUACUCAUGAUAUCCCUCCUCCUGUGUUACCUCCUUCACAUCCUUUUCCUACUCCUAGAAAGUCCACUAGACAGCAUAAUCCUCCUUCCUAUCUUAAGGAUUAUGUCUUCUUUCAAUCAUGAUAUCCCUCCUCCUGUGUUACCUCCUUCACAACCUCUUCCUACUCCUAGAAAGUCCACUAGACAGCAUAAUCCUCCUUCCUACCUUAAGGAUUAUGUCUGUCAACUCCCUGCCUUUUCAGGUUCCUCUUCUUCCACUUUGGAAUCUGAACCUCUGUAUUACUCUCAAGCUGCAUCUGUCCCAGCAUGACAGGAUGCAAUAAGACAGGAGUUUGAUGCUUUGGAAGCUAACCAUACUUGGGAUAGUGUUCUUCUUCCUCCUGGUAAGAAACCCAUUGGCUGUAAAUUGGUCUAUAAAAUCAAAUACAAGUCUGAUGGUCUUGUUGAAAGGUAUAAAGCAAGGCUUGUUAU